GCCUGGGUGGCACAGUCGUUUGAGCGUCUGACUUCAGCUCAGGUCAUGAUCUCAUAGCUUGUGAGUGAGUUCGAGCCCCACAUCAGGCU
rnacentral:tRNA from 1 species